UGAGGAGGAAAGUUAAUUUACUAAAUAUGAUAUCAGAAUGCGAGGUAAUACAAUAUAAUACAAUACAAUUGAAAUUGAGGCCAAUAAAUAAAAUGAAUACUAAACAAAUUAAAUGUGUGUCCAAAAAACUGAAGGCCUUACUCUAAUGCUGCAGACAAGACAGCUGGGGAGCACACACACUGCAGAGACGAGAAGAAAGGGAAGAGGGGGCAUCUUGGUCUGUGAACAGUUUUGUCUAUCCCUCUGAAUGAAAAACAGAAACUAAACAGUGAACAGUCCUCUGGGGUAUGUAGUUCUCCUCCUCUUCUGAGGCAGCUAUACCCAGAAGUAGCAAUGAUCCACAGGACUGGAGCAUUAACACUUUAACUCCCAGUGCACUAUAUGAUGUUGUGAUCUGGAAUACCAAUAAAAAAUAAGAACCAUGACACAGCUCUGGAAAUUCCUCAUUAGCAAUGACAUUACAAGAAGGGCUAAGUAGAAUCUUAAUCUUCACAUUUAAAUUCACAAGUGUUAGACACGCUAUCACAAGGAGUUUAGAAACACACUUAAGGUAAAAUUACUGAAACAAGAUGAAGUUCUCUUUACAGGUAUAUUUUUCAUUCAUCAAGCUCAGGACUUGUUUUGCUGGGUCAUUCAGCAUGAUCAGUUGCCACAUAAGAGGUUUUAACUAUUCAAUUCUGCAUUUGGAUUUAUUUACUAAGAUGUGCGUGUGUGUGUGGGGGGGGGGGGGGGGGAGAACCACAGCAAGAUUAUAGUGAGACAGCAUAGCACUGUAUUAAAUUCUGUAGAUCUAAUACCACAGACAGCAUAAACUCUGUAAAACAGCUUACUUCUACUGCCCUAUAGACAACAGCAGCAUUGGAGUAAAAUAUAAAAGCUAAUUAGAAGUUUCUGCUGAAUUAUCUUACUAUAGUGGGUUGGAAAAAAAAACAGCCUCGUAGUCUUGGACACUAUAGAUGGAGCAGAAAUAUAUCCACUAUCUCAACUGUAAUUUUAAUAUUACAGCAUUUUCAAGCUCAUAUUCUGAUCUGGGAUCAGCAUUCUCAAGACACAGGGAAUUAGAGAACAGAAUGAAUCAGAAGUGCAGCUUCAGAAACAACGACAAAGCUUUUGUCUCUGGGCUUUCAGUUAACUCUGGCAUUAAACCUGGGGGAACUCAAUCCACUACUCCUCAUGCAAGAACUCCUACACAGAUCAGGAGCACGGAGAUUAUUUCCCCAAGUUUCAAGAACAAACUUGUGAAGACGUGCCUUGAAGUUCUUAGUUUUAAACUCUUUACUAGUAAAAUUAAGUUAUUAGAACAAAACUAAAUGAAAGUGUAAUUCAAAAUUAAUUCCUAUCAUUUUGAUACAUUUACAUUACGCUUCAGUUACCACAACCAUUCCUGCCAAGAUUUUUAGUGAUGGAGUUACUGUUACAGAUCGAUGUUACAUGCUAGUAUGCCACAAGUAGCAAUCCACUUCCAUGUCUUUAACAGUUUCCUCAGUCACCCUGAGAGGGCUGCAAAACAUCCAGGGUGGUAUUUCUCAUUCAGCAAUAGUGGUUCUACAAGAAGCUUAUCUGUUGCUCAAGAAGAUAAAAAAACACUUGUUCUAACUUGAGGAUUAGACUUAAAAAUUAAGGAUGAUUAAGGCCUGCACUCUGAACACUGCAAAGGAAGCAUUAUUUCACUUUAUUCAGAUAGGUUGUAUCAGCAUAGUACCAUUAAGGAUGUGCAGAAGCAAUACUAGUGAGGAUAAUACUAGAGGGGAAAAAAAAGAAAAAUCACCUGAAGGUGAUUUUACUUAGUUCAAAGCAUUACAAACAACUGCUUACAAUUAAUAACAAUGCUUAACACAUAACUUCAUAGAAAUUGCUUCAAAGUAUUUUCUACAUAAUACAAGUAGUUUUAGAUAACAGCAUGCAGCUACAAACAUAUCCAACCACUCCACCUCUCUUCCUGAGAGAAGACUUACAGUCAGAACUACGACAAAACAUUCUCAACACUGGAACCGCUUCCUACCUCCAGCUCCUCAGUAUUCCUAUGGGCAGUUUUAUUCCCUAUCAUUAACAAAAUGCUCCCCUUGGGCCCUUUAAACUCCAUCACACAUUAUAUAACCAAUUUCCCAGACAGUAGUAGCUGCCAGCAGCUUUCUCCACAGGGUUGUCCAAUAGGUCUCCCACAAAACUGACUUCCAGGAGCUCGUCUACUCAUCCAGAACCUUCAGACUGCUUAGGAUAACCUAGUAGUUCUGAAUUACAUGAUUUCAUUGGCCUUCGGGGAUACUAUUUUAAAAUAUGUCUAAUUACAAUACACAAUAGCAUAUAAUAUAAUCAGAGUAUAACAGCAUUAUCACAUGUGGUAUUUCCAUGGGCAAUUUGAUCUCCAGAACUAUUCAAGUAAUAGUAUUCCUAAGCAAUAUCUUAAUGGUAUAAACACAAAAUGAGAAGCUUGCAUAAUACAGCAAGAGGAGAAAACUGGGACAAAUUAAAACCCAGCCCCUACAGUUCCUCAAAACAAACCUCAGUUUGGAGAGUCUGGGCAAUUCCAAGAAACAUAAUCCAUCAAAAAGUUUGAAACAAAAAAAAAAAGAGAUUAUUGGUUUCAAAGACAAAGUGUUACAGUACAAAAGGCUUUGAACAGAUUAUAGGGUACAUCACUUAUAUCCAGCUGCUUUUUAAAGCUUGCAGCUGUUAUCUGAUGUUUUCAGAACCGAAGAGAGGCCUGAAGUAAAGUGCUUAAACACUGGUGCUCUUCAACAACCACAUUGAACUUGAAACUUGGACUUGAAUCUUUGAAGUGUUCCUCAUUCCAAGGACAUCUGCAAGUGCUGAAAAAGGUAGGGAAAGAAUAAGCUACAGGCACUGGCAAAAAAAAUAAAAUACAAGUAAGAC
ensembl:lncRNA